CCAUAGCUCAAUAGUUGAGCAUCUGCUUAGCAUGUUGAAGGUCCCAGGAUCAAUCUCUGGCAGGUAGG